CCUACGGGAGGCUGCAGUGAGGAAUAUUGGUCAAUGGGCGCUAGCCUGAACCAGCCAAGUAGCGUGAAGGAUGACUGCCCUAUGGGUUGUAAACUUCUUUUAUAUGGGAAUAAAGUGCAGUAUGUAUACUGCUUUGCAUGUACCUUAUGAAUAAGGAUCGGCUAACUCCGUGCCAGCAGCCGCGGUAAUACGGAGGAUCCGAGCGUUAUCCGGAUUUAUUGGGUUUAAAGGGAGCGUAGGCGGGUUGUUAAGUCAGUUGUGAAAGUUUGCGGCUCAACCGUAAAAUUGCAGUUGAUACUGGCAGCCUUGAGUACAGUAGAGGUAGGCGGAAUUCGUGGUGUAGCGGUGAAAUGCUUAGAUAUCACGAAGAACUCCGAUUGCGAAGGCAGCCUGCUGGACUGUAACUGACGCUGAUGCUCGAAAGUGUGGGUAUCAAACAGGAUUAGAUACCCUAGUAGUC
rnacentral:rRNA from 1 species